GAAAGACUUCAGUGGUGUAAACAAGACUUCUCCUCAAGAUGCAAGAACUGGUUGCUUUGAUUCUUCUCAGUACUGUUUGUAUUAUAGAAACUACAGAAGUUCCUCAUUUGAUCUCCACAACUGAGAGUAAACCUGGUGAUAAUGUUACUUUUUCCUGUAAAUCGCCUACGGAUCACAGAUUCAGUCAGUGGUAUAAACAGUCUCCUGGAAAGAUGCUCCAAACAAUUGCUACAGGAGUUUAUAAAGCAAUUACAAAAACGGAGACAUUCAAUAAUACUCGUUUCCAAUUUCAUAGAGAAAACAAUGAGAUGUUUCUUACCAUACAUUCAGUUAAAAAAGAAGAUGAAGCUGUAUACUUCUGCCAGAGUGGAACUGAAUUUUUACUAACUGUUCAUAAUGGAUUCCUCUUGGAUGUAAAGGACUGUAAUCAACAGAUAUCUGUCUAUGUGGAACAAACUCCAGAGGCUGCAGCGGUCCAGCCAGGAGACACCACGACUCUCCAGUGUUCCCUUUUUUCAACGAACAGUGAAACAAGACCUCAGUGUCCAGAAGAAAACUUUGUUCACUGGUUUAAAUCUGGAUCUGGAAGCUCUUAUCCAAAUAUCAUUUACACUGCAAGAAAUAGCACAGACGAUGCAGCGAAGAGAAGCUGUGUCUACCGCCUCUCAAAAACAUUAGAGAACUCCGCUGAUUUUGGAACUUACUACUGUGCUGUGGCCAUUUGUGGAGAAAUACUGCUAGGUGAUGGAAGUAAACUGGAAACCAAACAGAACAAGACUCAAGUGUUCUUGUACUUGGGGGACUGUUGGGGUGCUGUGUGGUUGUGAUUAUCAGCCUUAUCUUCUACAUAAUUGGAAGGAGAGUUUCCGACAGUUCUAAAGCAAUAGGAGGAUCACAUCAUGCUGAACUUGAAACUUCAACUAUUUAUCAAACAAGGAACUUGGACAAAGAAGAGAAUUUGACCUAUGCAGAGGCACUGAAUUUCUCUGCAACAAAUGUGAGAAACUGCAAGAAAGUGAACACAGAAUGUAUGUAUUCUUCUGUUAGAGCAAAGUCACAAAAACAGCAGCAGCUCUGAUGAGAGCCGCAGUAUUUGCAUCAGUCCCCCAAAAGCAGAUUAAAAGAUUAGUCAAGCGCCAAAGAUUUUUGGCGCAAUCUUUAAAAUUUUUAAGGAUGUUUGUUUAUUUCUUUGUGCAAGAUAUUUCAUGCCUGCUCAUGUCAACUUGCCAGUUUUUGAAUAUGUUCAUUCUUAUAUUUAAGACCUUCAGCUCACUGAAAACACAAUUGUUUGAUAUUAACGGGUUAUUUUAGUUAUCACUUGGUGUUAAUAAAAUACAACGUCUUUGAAAGAUGAAAAGAAAGCAGUUUGUCAGGGAAACUUGUGAUCUUUUAAAAAUAAUAAAUAUUUAGAAAGUUCUGAUUCAACAAUUACAAAACAAUAAA